rnacentral:rRNA from 1 species
UACGGGGGAGCAAGCGUUGUUCGGAUUUACUGGGCGUAAAGGGCGCGUAGGCGGCCACUGCAAGUCGGUUGUGAAAUCUCCGGGCUUAACCCGGAAAGGUCAACCGAUACUGCAGGGCUAGAGUGCAGAAGGGGCAACUGGAAUUCUCGGUGUAGCGGUGAAAUGCGUAGAUAUCGAGAGGAACACCUGCGGCGAAGGCGGGUUGCUGGGCUGACACUGACGCUGAUGCGCGAAAGCUAGGGGAGCGAACGGG